GUGGUGGUCAGUGUAAUGACUACAGUACUGGUCAGUGUACUGUAGUCUCUUAAGACUCACCACAGACUGAGUCUGGUACCUGCCGACAGGGACUGAGAGAUAUCGGACUCCCUGUGCGAUGGUUCCAUACAAA
rnacentral:snoRNA from 1 species